rnacentral:rRNA from 1 species
GUCGACGAUACCUUCGGGUAUAGUGGCGCACGGGUGAGUAACACGUGGGAAUAUACCUUUCAGUGGGGGAUAACAUCGGGAAACUGAUGCUAAUACCGCAUACGCCCUUAGGGGGAAAGAUUUAUCGCUGAAAGAUUAGCCCGCGUCCGAUUAGCUAGUUGGUGAGGUAAUGGCUCACCAAGGCGACGAUCGGUAGCUGGUCUGAGAGGAUGACCAGCCACACUGGGACUGAGACACGGCCCAGACUCCUACGGGAGGCAGCAGUGGGGAAUAUUGGACAAUGGGCGCAAGCCUGAUCCAGCCAUGCCGCGUGAGUGAUGAAGGCCUUAGGGUUGUAAAGCUCUUUCGACGGGGACGAUGAUGACGGUACCCGUAGAAGAAGCCCCGGCUAACUUCGUGCCAGCAGCCGCGGUAAUACGAAGGGGGCUAACGUUGUUCGGAAUUACUGGGCGUAAAGCGCACGCAGGCGGUUCGAUUAG